rnacentral:rRNA from 1 species
CCGGAUUUAUUGGGUUUAAAGGGUGCGUAGGCGGUUUGAUAAGUUAGAGGUGAAAUUUCGGGGCUCAACCCUGAACGUGCCUCUAAUACUGUUGAGCUAGAGAGUAGUUGCGGUAGGCGGAAUGUAUGGUGUAGCGGUGAAAUGCUUAGAGAUCAUACAGAACACCGAUUGCGAAGGCAGCUUACCAAACUAUAUCUGACGUUGAGGCACGAAAGCGUGGGGAGCAAACAGGAUUAGAUACCCUGGUAGUCCACGCAGUAAACGAUGAUAACUCGUUGUCGGCGAUACACAGUCGGUGACUAAGCGAAAGCGAUAAGUUAUCCACCUGGGGAGUACGUUCGCAAGAAUGAAACUCAAAGGAAUUGACGGGGGCCCGCACAAGCGGAGGAACAUGUGGUUUAAUUCGAUGAUACGCGAGGAACCUUACCCGGGCUUGAAAGUUAGCGACGAUUCUUGAAAGAGGAUUUCCCUUCGGGGCGCGAAACUAGGUGCUGCAUGGUUGUCGUCAGCUCGUGCCGUGAGGUGUCGGGUUAAGUCCCAUAACGAGCGCAACCCCUACCGUUAGUUGCCAUCAGGUGAAGCUGGGCACUCUGGCGGGACUGCCGGUGUAAGCCGAGAGGAAGGUGGGGAUGACGUCAAAUCAGCACGGCCCUUACGUCCGGGGCUACACACGUGUUACAAUGGUAGGUACAGAGGGCAGCUACCCAGCGAUGGGAUGCGAAUCUCGAAAGCCUAUCUCAGUUCGGAUUGGAGGCUGAAACCCGCCUCCAUGAAGUUGGAUUCGCUAGUAAUCGCGCAUCAGCCAUGGCGCGGUGAAUACGUUCCCGGGCCUUGUACACACCGCCCGUCAAGCCAUGGGAGCCGGGGGUGCCUGAAGUUCGUGACCGCAAGGAGCGACCUAGGGCAAAACUGGUGACUGGGGCUAAGUCGUAACAGGGUAGCCGUACCGGAAGGUGCGGCUG